rnacentral:lncRNA from 1 species
ACUGUGGCCUGGUUUUGCAGAAGUGUCAUAGGUGUGCACGGUGCAACGUCUGAAAACUUCUGAAAGACAGAAAUAGCUCAAGAUAGACCAUCCAUCCUCCUGCCACGCAGAGGUAACUUCGAUCACCUUACAUGAAGGUCUGAAGGUCAGCAGGCCCCACAGGUAGCCUUCGUGUUUAAGAGGCCGGGACCAAAGGUGAAGCCUGCCAGCAACACCAGAGUUGCAUCCCAAACUCAGUCCAACUUGCCAUUCGGAGGGCAGGCACCUCACAAUUCUGGUGGAAAGGAUCCAAGAACCCCUGCCUGCUGGACCUGCAGACAGACUCAGAUUCUCCAGGACGAGGCCCCUGCGGAAAGAUGGUGGGAGGAGAGAAGGUGAACUUGGUCCCGGGACUGCAUCAGGUGAGUGGUCCGUGGGGCCAGGAGACCUGAAUUCCUAGGGCAGGUGUCCGGCUCCAGUCCCGGCUCCGUGUGAACCGAAGUAGCAGGGUCAUGCUCUCCUCUGCUGGGCUCCCUGGACGGGAUCUUUGGAAGUUCAAAGCACUGAAAUUCUUAGGAAGCCAUCUCUCCUCCCCUGGCUCUCUGUACCCUAGACCCAUUCGAAAUGCAGACUCUUCUAAACUUAAACCAGUCCCAAGAUCCAGCAAUAUAAUUUGUUAUUAUUUAUUUAUUUAGAUUUUUGAUUUAAAUUAAAAAAAUUAAAAUAUAGGUGAUAUACAAUGUUGUGUCAAUUUCUGCUGCACAGCAAAAGGACCCAGUCAUACAUAGACAGAUGUUCUUUUUCUCAUAUUAUCUUCUAUCCUGUUCUAUCACAAAAGACUGGAUAGAGUUCCCUGUGCUGUGCAGCAGGACCUCGUUGCUUAUCCAUCCUGAAUGUAGUAGUUUGCGUCUGUUAACCCCAAACUCCCCGUCCAUCCCAAUCCUUCUCCCUCCCCCUUGGAAACCACAAGUCUCGUCUCCAACAUUAUAGUUUUUUUAAAUGGAGAAUAUUUAGGGCAUAUUUUGAAAGAUUCCAUUACUUCCAUUACUGUUAUUGUUGUCGCUGUCAUUGUUAUUAUUCAUGAUCCGCCUCCCACGCCCCCUGGCAACCACAAGUCUGCUCUCCUGGUCCCUGAUAUGCUUCUGUUUUGUAGAUAAGAUCAUUUGUAUCAUAUUUUAGAUUCUAUAUAUAUUUGUCUCUCUCUUUCUGACUUACUUCACUUGUGAUGAAAAUCUCUAGUUGCAUCCGUGUUGCUGCAAAUGGUAUUAUUUUGUCUUUUUCAUGACUGAGUAGUAUUCCAUCAUAUAAAGGUACCACAUCUUCUUAAUCCAUUCACCUGUUGAUGGACAUUUAGGUUGUUUCCGUGACUUAGAUAUCAUGAACCCUAAAUAUAGAACUAUCAUAUGCCCUAGCAAUUCCACUCCUGGGCAUGUGUCUGGAUAAAACUUUGAUUCAAAAAGAUACAGGCACCCUUACGGUCACUGCAGCCCUAUUCACAACAUCCACAGAAGGAUUUUUAUUAAUACUUUUUCUUCGGAGACGUUACUUACAAUGAUUUUUGCUCUUCGAUUCCUUACCCAGCUGAACCAAGAUUGAUAAAAAGGUUCUCCUGGAUUCAGAAAUUGAUGUUCAUUCGUUGCCAUGGUCUCCUUUGCUUGGGGUCCCACCAUUCUUUUACCCUGAGCACCUGGAAGACCAGGCAUUGUGCGAAGCAGGACAGCAUCGGAAGGAGGGCAGAGCUUGGAGGGACAUUCUUUCAAAUGCACCCCUUUGAGGGUUGGCAGGGGGACCGGGGCUUCAUUAAUCUAAUCUGGCCCCUUAGGAAGAAAAAAUUAGUGCUCUCCAUAUGUACAUGACCUUCGCCCCAGUUCUAUUUUUGGAAUCAUUGCAGGAGGGUCUGUCAGUGGUGUCUGGGGGAGAGUUAAAACAGAAUUUACAAUUGAGUGGUCGGUUCACCCUUGCAUGGAGCUCACUGCCUUGAGAGAAAUCUGCAGCUCAAAUAAUAAAGAGUCCGAGAUUCCUCCAAAGCAGUCUGUUCAUUCAGAAAAGUCAUUAAGUGAUGCUAAAAGUAGAUAGAACUGGAGUUCCCGUCAUGGCGCAGCAGAAACGAAUCCCACUAGGAACCGUGAGGUUGCGGGUUUGAUCCCUGGCCUUGCUCAGUGGGUUAAGGAUCCAGCAUUGCCGUGAGCUGUGGUGUAGGUCAAAGAUGCAGCUUGGCUGUGGUGCUGGCCGGCAGCUGUAGCUCUGAUUCAACCCCUAGUCUGGGAACUUCUAUAUGCCGCAGGUACGGCCCUAAAAAGCAAAUAAACAAAUAAAUAACUAAAUAAAAUCGGAUAGAACAACCACCUAGCUGGGCUGCUGACUGAAUUUUCAUACAGUGGCUAAAUAUUUUGAUUCAAUAUAUUCAAGCAGAAUCAAAUACUUGUUUAAUUUUAUUUAUGAAACGUCAUUUCAGUUGAACAGAUGCUAUGGUUAAUUUCAAUUCAUGUUGGAGACAGACACGUACAAUUUCAUUAUUGUCUUGGUCAGAUGUCCAAUCUUCUACUACCUCUUUGUGCUAAUCCAGUUUGUUGGCAGCUCUUGACUGAGAGGUACUAAUGUAGGGAAAGAAGGCCACUUUCUUCGAUGGAUUUUUAAAAUUAGAAUUUGGGAGUUGCCGUCGUGGCGCAGGGGAAACGAAUCUGAUGAGGAACCAUGAGAUGGCAGGUUCAAUCCCUGGCCUCCCUCAGGGGGUUAAGGAGCUGGGGUUGCUGUGAGCUGUGGUGUAGGUCGCAGAUGCGGCUCAGAUCUGCUGUUGCUGUGGCCGUGGUGUCGGCCAGCAGCUGUAGCUCCAAUUCGACCCCUAGCCUGGGAACUCCAUAUGCCAUGGUGCGGCCCUAAAAAAGCAAAAAAUAAAAAUAAAAUAAAAAAUUAAAAUUUAUCUAUGUCGAUGUUCUUAGGACCAAUGAGAUAAAGUCACCUCAAAACUGUGUAACUACAGACCCAAUUCUGUACUGUUUACAAGAGACACCCAUUAAAUAUAACUCAAGUACUCAAUAAUCAUGAGAAAGCAGGAGUGACUCUAUUAGCAUCAGAAAAAGUCCACUUCAAGACAAGAGGUAUUAUCAGAGACAAUUUCAUAAUGCUGAAAACAGAACCUGACAGAAUUAGAGACGUCAAUGCAUGGUUACAGUCAGGAAUUUUAACAUUUCUCUUUGCAUCAUUGAUGGAAGCAGUAGGUGGUAUAAGACGUCAGGAUACAGACAAUUUGAACAACACUACUGUUCAGUUAACCUAAUGAACAUUUCUAGAACUACACACGCAACCAGGUAGAAUACACGUUCUUUUCUGGUAGAUGUAGAUCAUUCGCCAAGAUAGACCACGUGCUAUCAAAUAGCAAAUAUUCAGCUAGCCAAUACUCAGAGAUAUAAAAAUAUUCGAUCAUGCAGAAUAUCUUCUCUGACUACAAUGGAGUUAAAUUAGAAAUGGAAAAUAAAAAGAUAUCUGGAAAAGCCCCCACUAUUUAGAAGAUAAACCACACACUCCCGAAUGACCCUUGGCUGGAAAGAGAAAUCCUAAGGGAAAUAUGGCCAACUGAAUGAUCGGGGCUGGCACAACAGGUUAAAAUCAGAGAGAUGGAUCAAAGACAUAGUCUUCAGUGAAAUUUAUAACUCUAAAUGCUGAUAUUACCAAAGAAGAAUGGUUUUAAAUCAAUCCCUUGAAUUUCCCUUUUAUGGGACUGGAAAAACAAGAGAAAGCAAAUCAAAACCGAAAUAAAAGGAAUGAAGGAAACGGUAAAGAUAAGAUCAGAAACCAGUGAAAUACAAAAUGCACAGACAAUGGAGAAAAUCAGUAACACUAAAGGCUGGUUCUUUGAAAGAUCAAUAAAAUUGAAAAAGCUCUGGUUAAACAACUGAUGAAUUGAUACUGAUAAAGGUGAGAAAAAAAUACGAAUGACUGAAUCAGGGAUGAAGAAGGACAUUAGUUUGGAUGCCACAGAUGCUAAAAAGACAGAAAGGGGAUAUACUGCGAGCAGAUUUACAUCCUUCAGUUUAGCGACUCAGGUGACAUAGAAAAAUUUCUAGAAAAACAUAAGUUGCAAAAACAAGACACACAAAGAAACAGAAAAUGUAAAUAGCUCAAAGAUGUUCAAUUCAAUUCAUAAUAAGAUCCUGCAUCAAAGAAAAUUCUAUGAAAGAUAUGGCUUUCCUAGUAAUUUUUAUGAUACAGUUAAGGAAGAAAUAAAACUAAUUUUAGACAAACUCUGUCUGAAAAUGCGAGGCCAGCAUAACCCUGAUUCCAAAACCAGACAAGAAUAUUACAAGAAAACCACAGACCAAUAACAAAAAUUUGUCUUAUGAACAAAGAUUCCCAGAUCCCUUGAAAAAAAAA